rnacentral:rRNA from 1 species
UACGAAGGGGGCUAGCGUUGUUCGGAAUUACUGGGCGUAAAGCGCGCGCAGGCGGUCCUUUAAGUCAGGGGUGAAAGCCCAGAGCUCAACUCUGGAACUGCCUUUGAGACUAGGGGACUUGGGUACGGGAGAGGUGAGUGGAAUUCCGAGUGUAGAGGUGAAAUUCGUAGAUAUUCGGAAGAACACCAGUGGCGAAGGCGGCUCACUGGCCCGUUACCGACGCUCAGGCGCGACAGCGUGGGGAGCAAACAGG